GGAACAGAUGCUCUGUCCCUGGAAUUCUUCCCAAAUCUUCUUCGCUUCCUCCUUGAGCAAGCUUUUCUUAUCCAAGGCAUGGUAGGCCUCCAAUGUAUUAGUGUUGUAAAGAAUUCCAGGGACAGAGCAUCUGUUCCUGUUGCCGCGAGAGAUAGCUGGAACUGACGAUUGCUCACUUUCAUCACUAGGCAGGGAUUCCGAAAGAAGAGUCAAGUGGUUCGAUACCUGAGAAUGCGAACAAGGGGCAUAGAAACCGGUGAUGGCGAUAGGAGAAUCGUCGAUGCCGAACUUGUUGAGCUUCAAAGAAGACAACCUAUGCCAGAAACCCUCAUCUACGAAGCUCUGAAACGGCGCGAAUUGGAGAAUAGAUCCACCACUCCGUUCUUGUUUAGACAUUG
rnacentral:misc_RNA from 1 species